GACGAACGCUGGCGGCGUGCUUAACACAUGCAAGUCGAACGGAAAGGCCCUGCUUUCGUGGGGUGCUCGAGUGGCGAACGGGUGAGUAACACGUGAGUAACCUGCCCUUGACUUUGGGAUAACUUCAGGAAACUGGGGCUAAUACCGGAUAGGAGCUCCUGCUGCAUGGUGGGGGUUGGAAAGUUUCGGCGGUUGGGGAUGGACUCGCGGCUUAUCAGCUUGUUGGUGGGGUAGUGGCUUACCAAGGCUUUGACGGGUAGCCGGCCUGAGAGGGUGACCGGCCACAUUGGGACUGAGAUACGGCCCAGACUCCUACGGGAGGCAGAAGUGGGGAAUAUUGCACAAUGGGCGGAAGCCUGAUGCAGCAACGCCGCGUGCGGGAUGACGGCCUUCGGGUUGUAAACCGCUUUCGCCUGUGACGAAGCGUGAGUGACGGUAAUGGGUAAAGAAGCACCGGCUAACUACGUG
rnacentral:rRNA from 1 species